rnacentral:rRNA from 1 species
GAUGAACGCUGGCGGCGUGCCUAAUACAUGCAAGUCGAGCGGAAAGGCCCUUCGGGGUACACGAGCGGCGGACGGCUGAGUAACACGUAGGAACGUACCCCAAAGUGAGGGAUAAGCACCAGAAAUGGUGUCUAAUACCGCAUGUGCUCCAAGGAGUAAAGCUUUAUGCGCUUUGGGAACGGCCUGCGUCCGAUUAGCUAGUUGGCGGUUUAAUAGACCACCAAGGCAACGAUCGGUAGCUGGUCUGAGAGGAUGAUCAGCCAGACUGGGACUGAGACACGGCCCAGACUCCUACGGGAGGCAGCAGUAGGGAAUUUUCCACAAUGGGCGAAAGCCUGAUAGAGCAACGCCGCGUGCAGGAUGAAUGCCUUCGGGUUGUAAACUGCUUUUAUUGGUGUCGAUUAUGACGGUAACCAAUGAAUAAGGACCUGCUAACUACGUGCCAGCCGCCGCCGUAA